GUGCUCACUUCAGCAGCACCCAUACUAAAAUUGGAACUACACAGAGAUGAUAAGCAUGGGCCCUGUGCAAGGAUCACACGCAAAUUCAUGAAGUGUUCCGUAUUUUC